CAUAUGGCGGUGAAUUCGUUCCCUGGCCUUGUACACACCGCCCGUCACACUAUGGGAGCUGGCCAUGCCCGAAGUCGUUACCUUAACCGCAAGGAGGGGGAUGUCGAAGGCAGGGCUAGUGACUGGAGUGAAGUCGUAACAAGGUAGCCGUACUGGAAGGUGCGGCUGGAUCACCUCCUUUUCAGGGAGAGCUAACGCUUGUUGGGUAGUUUAGUUUGACACUGCUUCACACCCAAAAAGAAGCGAGUUAUGUCUGAGUCAAAUUUGGAGAUGGAAGUCUUCUUUCGUUUCUCGACGGUGAAAUAAGACUAAACUCAUGAGCGUAUUAUCCUAGGUCAGAACAAGUUGAUAGGAGCUCCUUUUUUCACCCCCAUGUCGCCACAUG